AUACGUAGGCAGCGAGCGUUGUUCGGAGUUACUGGGCGUAAAGGGUGUGUAGGCGGUCUUCCGUGUCUGGUGUGAAAUCUCCCGGCUCAACUGGGAGGGUGCGCCGGAAACUGGGAGGCUUGGAGUGCGGGAUGGGAGAGUGGAAUUCCUGGUGUAGCGGUGAAAUGCGUAGAUAUCAGGAGGAACACCGGUGGUGUAGACGGCUCUCUGGACCGUAACUGACGCUGAGACACGAAAGCGUGGGUAGC
rnacentral:rRNA from 1 species